GUCCGCAAGUGUGGCAGUUGGCGCCAACAACUUGUCAUCUAAAGGUUAAAAUUUGCUUAUAUUUUUUAUUCGUACGUGAUUUCAAGUGAAUUAACAGCAAUAAUGGUUCGUCCAAAGAAAACAACGCGUGAACGUACACGCAUUGUGCAUCCGAAUGUACUUAUUAACUUGGCAAGAGAAGGUAGACUAUCAAUCAGUUCAGCGGGUUUGACCUCAUCAGACGAAGAAAAUACAGUUAAACGCAUUAAGAAACAACACAAAAAGACACCGGUUAGUGAGAGUGAGCCAAAAUCUACACCGGAGCAGAUUCCACAGAUUCCAGCCAGCACACCGUUUCAUGCGGUGAGAAAAUCACAAUUAGAAUGGAAUAUGUCAAAUAUUGAACCUGAAAAUAAUGAAAUCAUUGAUAAACCAAAAGAAUCAGCUCCAGUUAGGGCAGGAUCUGAAAUAAAAGUACUUAGUAAUAUUACAGUGAAGAAACCAGAUCAAAACAAACGUAAAAAGUCGUUAAAAUCUUCAAAAGCCACAAAAAAAUCAGAAAAACAAAGUGCAAAUCAUGCUAAUACUCCAGAAGUUAUUAAGAAUCCUUUAAUUGUGUCUCAAUCUAAUAUAAACACAUAUAACAGUAAUAAAUCAAGACAUAGAAGAAUAUCAAAUGUGGCCAAUGAGAAAUCUGAAAAAAUCAAUGCGAAAAUUCCGAAAAAACACCAAUAGUUGAUGCUGAUAUUCACGAACGUCUAAAACGUCUAGAAAAAAAGUUGAGUAAAAUUGAAAGACAGCCACGUCGCAAAUCGAAAGCAUCAAGAGCACCAAUCGAUGAUUUUGAUGUGUAUGAUUACCAACCACCUGCGACAGUAGAAAUAUCAAAUACACCACAAGUUAUUAAUAAUAUUCAUAAACCAUUAGACACAUCUUGGAAUAGAAAAGUGCAAUCACUGCUUGGAGACAUGGAAGUGGAGGAGGUUGUUACCAAUUCAGUGAAGCACAAAAUGCCUAUAAUAGGUUUGUCUGAAAACAAAAUGGACGUUGAUGUGAAUAAUAAAUCUCCAUUGAAAGUUACCACAACUGAAACAAAAGAAAAUGAAAAAUCUCGGAAGAGUACAGGUCGUGUAUUGUUUCCUGUGAAUAGUAAUACAUCUGUAUCAGGGAAGAAGCGGGAACCAUUGAUGUUUUUGCAGGAUAUUCUCAAUCAAGCUGAGAGACCAACUCCUGUGCCUGCACCACGCAAGCUUUUAUCCAAAAAGAGUUGUAAUAUUCUUCAAGUUGAAGAUAAAGUGGUUGUUCCUGUGGAAAUUGAAGAGGAUAGGCAACCAGACUUACAUGUGCAGGAAAAACCUGAGGAGAUAAUUAAUAAUGAGAUUCCUGCAUCGCCACGGAUACAAGAAGUAUCUAUUCCUAAAGUUUCUAGUAGAAGAACAAGGAGUACUAGAUUAUCUAGUGCAAAAUCCACUACAGCAAAUGUAAAAACUAGAAAUUCUGUUAAUAAAUCUAAACCAGCAGAAAAUUUGGAUGUAGUAGAGGUGCAGGUGGAAACUAUUCUUCAACCUGCUGUUGAAUUACAGGAUCAAGUUGAAGCUGUUGAAGAACCAGUUGAUGAUAAUAAUGUUGAGGCAAUUCCCGAGGUUGAAGCAGUUAUACCACCAAGCAAACAGAAAAAAAAGCCAAAAGUUGCAAAACAAAAUAAAGAAACGAAAAAACCUGUCAAAAGAAAGUCACC